CCCUUAGAUGUUCUGGGCCGCACGCGUGCUACACUGAGUGGAUCAGCGGGUCAGGUUGCGCGAAAGCGUUUCCUAAUCUUUAAAUCCGCUCGUGAUGGGGAUUGACGGUUGCAAUUUUCUGUCAUGAACGAGGAAUACCUUGUAAGCGCGGGUCAUCAUCCCGCGCUGAAUACGUCCCUGCCCUUUGUACACACCGCCCGUCGCUCCUACCGAUUGAGCAAUCCGGUGAAUACUUCGGACCGGUUACUUGGUUGGUUCGCUAACCUUGUGACUGGAAAGUCGAGUGAACCUUAUUGCUUAGAGGAAGGAGAAGUCGUAACA
rnacentral:rRNA from 1 species